rnacentral:rRNA from 1 species
UACGAAGGGGGCGAGCGUUGUUCGGAAUUACUGGGCGUAAAGGGCGCGUAGGCGGUCUGGCAAGUGAGAGGUGAAAUCCCUCGGCUCAACUGAGGAACUGCCUUUCAUACUGCGUGACUUGAGUCCGGGAGAGGUGAGUGGAAUUCCCAGUGUAGAGGUGAAAUUCGUAGAUAUUGGGAAGAACACCAGUGGCGAAGGCGAUCACCUGGGGUUGUUCUGACGCUGAGGAGCGAAAGCUAGGGGAGCAAACGGG